AGUGAACGCUGGCGGUAGGCCUAACACAUGCAAGUCGAACGGCAGCACAGUAAGAGCUUGCUCUUACGGGUGGCGAGUGGCGGACGGGUGAGGAAUACAUCGGAAUCUACUUUUUCGUGGGGGAUAACGUAGGGAAACUUACGCUAAUACCGCAUACGACCUACGGGUGAAAGCAGGGGAUCUUCGGACCUUGCGCGAUUGAAUGAGCCGAUGUCGGAUUAGCUAGUUGGCGGGGUAAAGGCCCACCAAGGCGACGAUCCGUAGCUGGUCUGAGAGGAUGAGCAGCCGCGCUGGGGCAGAAACGGGCUCAAGACCCCUAGGGAGGGCGCCAGUGGGAAAAUUUGGACAGUGGGCGCAGGCCUGACCGCACCAUCCGGCGUGGGAAAAGAAGGCCUUGGGUUUGAAAACCCCUUUUGUUGGGAAAAAAAAGCAGCCGGUUAAUACCCCGCUGUUCGCAGGGAACCAAAAAAAUAAGCACCGGCUAUCUUCGGC
rnacentral:rRNA from 1 species